rnacentral:rRNA from 1 species
GGAGGGAUCAUUACCGAGUUAUCCAACUCCCAACCCCUGUGAAUCAUACCUUUAAUUGUUGCUUCGGCGGGACUUCGCGCCCGCCGGGGACCCAAACCUUCUGAAUUUUUUAAUAAGUAUCUUCUGAGUGGUUAAAAAAAAUGAAUCAAAACUUUCAACAACGGAUCUCUUGGUUCUGGCAUCGAUGAAGAACGCAGCGAAAUGCGAUAAGUAAUGUGAAUUGCAGAAUUCAGUGAAUCAUCGAAUCUUUGAACGCACAUUGCGCCCGUCAGUAUUCUGGCGGGCAUGCCUGUUCGAGCGUCAUUACGCCCCUCAAGUCCCCUGUGGACUUGGUGUUGGGGAUCGGCGAGGCUGGUUUUCCAGCACAGCCGUCCCUUAAAUUAAUUGGCGGUCUCGCCGUGGCCCUCCUCUGCGCAGUAGUAAAGCACUCGCAACAGGAGCCCGGCGCGGUCCACUGCCGUAAAACCCCCCAACUUUUUAUAGUUGACCUCGAAUCAGGUAGGACU